rnacentral:rRNA from 1 species
GACGAACGCUGGCGGCGUGCUUAACACAUGCAAGUCGAGCGGUAAGGCCCUUUCGGGGGUACACGAGCGGCGAACGGGUGAGUAACACGUGGGUGACCUGCCCUCAGCUCUGGGAUAAGCCCGGGAAACUGGGUCUAAUACUGGAUAUUACUCUGCGGUGCAUGCCGUGGGGUGGAAAGCCUUGUGCGGCUGGGGAUGGGCCCGCGGCCUAUCAGCUUGUUGGUGGGGUGAUGGCCACCAAGGCGACGACGGGUAGCCGGCCUGAGAGGGCGACCGGCCACACUGGGACUGAGACACGGCCCAGACUCCUACGGGAGGCAGCAGUGGGGAAUCUUGCGCAAUGGGCGAAAGCCUGACGCAGCGACGCCGCGUGAGGG